rnacentral:rRNA from 1 species
CCUACGGGUGGCUGCAGUGAGGAAUAUUGGUCAAUGGCCGGAAGGCUGAACCAGCCAAGCCGCGUGAAGGACGAAGGUGCCAAGCAUUUUAAACUUCUUUUGUCAGGGGACAAAAUCAGCCUCGAGAGCAUGACCGAGUGUCCUUGAAGAAAAAGCAUCGGCUAAGUCCGUGCCAGCAUCCGCGGUAAUACGGAGGAUGCGAGCGUUAUCCGGAUUUAUUGGGUUUAAAGGGUGCGUAGGCGGACGCGUAAGUCAGCGGGAAAAGCCGGGGGCUCAACCGCGACGAGCCGUUGAAACUGGGUGACUUGAGAAGGCGAGAGGUACGCGGAAUGCGCAGUGGAGCGGUGAAAUGCUUAGAUAUUGCGAAGAACUCCGAUGGCGAAGGCAGUGUACCGGAGGCGAUCGGACGCUGAGGCACGAAAGCGUGGGUAUCAAACAGGAUUAGAUACCCCAGUAGUC